AUAUUUACCCGGCAUGGUAUCUCCCGUGAUGAUAAAUGUGGUUUCCCAGGUUGAGGAUCAUCCAUAGCACGCUGGGUGUGCUGACUCCCACAGUUUCUCAUGCAGAAACUGGAGUGCAUCAUUUGUGGUAGUGGGGGACUGUAUCUGUGCAGCCUAUG